GCCGUGAUCGUCUAGUGGUUAGGACAUUGCGUUGUGGCUGCAAUAACCCAGGUUCGAAUCCUGGUCUCGGCA
rnacentral:tRNA from 1 species